GUUACCUACGGGGCGCAGCAGUGAGGAAUAUUGGUCAAUGGUCGGGAGACUGAACCAGCCAAGCCGCGUGAGGGAGGAAGGUACAGAGUAUCGUAAACCUCUUUUGUCAGGGGACAAAGACUGGGACGCGUCCCCGGAUGAGUGUACCUGAAGAAAAAGCAUCGGCUAACUCCGUGCCAGCAGCCGCGGUAAUACGGAGGAUGCGAGCGUUAUCCGGAUUUAUUGGGUUUAAAGGGUGCGCAGGCGGACUUUUAAGUCAGCGGUCAAAUCGUGGGGCUCAACCCCAUCCAGCCGUUGAAACUGGG
rnacentral:rRNA from 1 species